GUCGUUGCUUGCAUUAUUUCACAAUUAUCUUUAGAAUUGUUGUAAAGUAGAGAGCAUCGACUUUACAAAAUCGUAAACAUUUGUGGAUCCCCAAAUGGCAGAUUAUACUGCAUAACAAAGAAUGAAAGAUAAGAUCAACAUGAAUUUUCUGGAUGAGAGACUUGAGUGAAGGCUGUUAUUAGUGACAUGCUUCUAACAUGCAGGAUAUAGAAAGGGAAAAAUCGUAAUUUUAUACUGGAAAAACCUGGCAGUCAUCCUCAUAACAAAGUAAUUUAAGUUAACACCAGCAGUAAUAGGACAUAUUGAUAUCAUGUACCCUGGAUAUUGUGCAAUUUAGUGAGCAUAUAAGUUCUGUGAUUUUCAUUCCUUAAAUCCAUAACCUCAUUGUAAUCAUGAGAAAACACCAGACAAAUCCAAAUUGAUGAACAUUCUACAAAAUACCUGACCAGCAUUCUACAAAAGUUUCGAUGUCAUGAAAGACAAGGAAAGACUGAACAUGUGUUACAGUUUGGAGGAGACUAAAGAGAUAAAACAACUGGAUACAAUAUGGGAUCCUUGAUUGAAUCUUGAAACAGAUUAUUCAAAGGAUAUCAGAUAAAAAAAAACAUGAAGAAAUCUGAGUAAAGUCUGAAGGUUAGCAGUAUUAUGCCAAUGCUAAUUUCUUAGUUUUAAUAGUUGCACAUGGUUAUGUAAGUUGUUAACAUUAGAAGAAACUAGGUUAAGGGCAUAGGGGAACUCUCUGUCCUGUCUUUGCAAAAGUUAAAAAUAAAAAGGCUGCCAGGAUUAUCUAUCUUACUGGUUAAUUUUUUAAAUGUAUUUAAUUGAUUAAUCAUUCAUGAGAUUCUUGAUUCUUUCCCAGAAGACAGAAAAUUCUAUCUCCAGUGUAACUGUUAAAAAGAUAGUUCUCCUGUUCUUUAGCCCUUACGCUUCCUCAAGUCAGAAUGUACAAUCAACCCAGCAGCUAACUCAGCCAGCCUGCAUCACAAAAGACACCAGCCAACUGCCAAAGCUCUUGUACACUCCCAAAUUCGCCAUUCUAGUGUAUAAACUCUUGUGAGUGGUUUGAAUGUCUCCGUCCACUCUCCCUGAAAUCUGGAUCCUGUAAAGCUGAAAAUGCCCCAAGCCAAGAAUGAUUACCUUCGGUCUAUAUCCCUUCUACCAUUUCGCAUCUGCUUUUCUUCAUCCCUUAAUCUCCAUCUUGGCUGGGCUGAAUGCAGCUAAGUUACAUCUUGUCAUUCUUUUUCUAGUGGGAUAAUAUUUUCCUUCUUACAUAUUUUCUGAAUCAUGGUAAAAUAUACUUAAUAUAAAAUUCAGCGUUUUAACUGUUUCUAAGUUCAGAAGUAAGUAUAUUCACCUUGUUGUACAACCAACUACCAGAAAUU
rnacentral:lncRNA from 1 species